rnacentral:rRNA from 1 species
AACGAACGCUGGCGGCAUGCCUAACACAUGCAAGACGAACGAGAUCUUCGGGUCUAGUGGCGCUCGGGUGCGUAACUCGUGGGAAUCUGCCCUUUUGUUCGGAAUCACAGUUGGAAACGACUGCUCAUACCGGAUGAUGACGAAAGUCCAAAGGUUUGUCGCCAGAGGAUUAGCCCGCGUAGGAUUAGCUAGUUGGUGUGAUAACGUCGCACCAAGGCGACGAUCCUUAGCUGGUCUGAGAGGAUGAUCAGCCACACUGGGACUGAGACACGGCCCAGAUGCGUACGGGAGGCAGCAGUGGGGAAUAUUGGACAAUGGGCGACAGCUGGAUCCAGCAAGGCCGCGUGAGUGAUGAAGGCCUUAGGGUUGGAAAGCUCUUUUACCCGGGAUGAUAAUGACAGUACCGGGAGAAUAAGCUCCGGCUAACUCCGUGCCAGCAGCAGCGGUAA